rnacentral:rRNA from 1 species
UACGGGGGGAGCAAGCGUUGUUCGGAAUCACUGGGCGUAAAGGGCGUGUAGGCGGUCAAGUAAGUGGGAUGUGAAAUCCCUCGGCCCACCCGAGGACCUGCAUCCCAAACUGCUUGGCUUGAGUAUGGGAGAGGAUGAGGGAAUUCCUGGUGUAGCGGUGAAAUGCGUAGAUAUCAGGAGGAACACCGGUGGCGAAGGCGCUCAUCUGGCCCAAUACUGACGCUGAGGCGCGAAAGCUAGGGGAGCAAACGGG